CCUACGGGAGGCAGCAGUGGGGAAUAUUGCACAAUGGGGGAAACCCUGAUGCAGCAACGCCGCGUGAAGGAAGACGGUUUUCGGAUUGUAAACUUCUUUUGCCGGGGAGCAACGGGCGCCACGUGUGGCGUCACUGAGAGUACCCGGAGAAAAAGCAUCGGCUAACUCCGUGCCAGCAGCCGCGGUAAUACGGAGGAUGCGAGCGUUAUCCGGAUUUAUUGGGUUUAAAGGGUGCGUAGGCGGAUCGUUAAGUCAGUGGUCAAAUUGAGGGGCUCAACCCCUUCCCGCCAUUGAAACUGGCGUUCUUGAGUGGAAGAGAAGUAUGCGGAAUGCGUGGUGUAGCGGUGAAAUGCAUAGAUAUCACGCAGAACCCCGAUUGCGAAGGCAGCAUGCCGGCUUCCGACUGACGCUGAAGCACGAAAGCGUGGGGAUCGAACAGGAUUAGAUACCCUUGUAGUC
rnacentral:rRNA from 1 species